GACGAACGCUGGCGGCGUGCUUAACACAUGCAAGUCGAACGGAAAGGCCCCUUUGGGGGUACUCGCGUGGCGAACGGGUGAGUAACACGUGAGUAACCUGCCCUUGUCUUCUUGAUAACUUCAGGAAACUGGGGCUAAUACCGGAUAGGAAUCCUUGCUGCAUGGUGGGGGUUGGAAAGCUUCGGCGGUUUUGGAUGGACUCGCGGCUUAUCAGCUUGUUGGUGGGGUAGUGGCUUACCAAGGCUUUGACGGGUAGCCGGCCUGAGAGGGCGACCGGCCACAUUGGGACUGAGAUACGGCCCAGACUCCUACGGGAGGCAGCAGUGGGGAAUAUUGCACAAUGGGCGGAAGCCUGAUGCAGCAACGCCGCGUGCGGGAUGACGGCCUUCGGGUUGUAAACCGCGUUCAGCAGGGGCGAAGCUUGGGGUGACGGUACCUGCAGAAGAAGCACCGGCUAACUACGUG
rnacentral:rRNA from 1 species